UACGAGGGGGGCAAGCGUUGUUCGGAAUUACUGGGCGUAAAGGGCUCGUAGGCGGCCAACUAAGUCGGAUGUGAAAUCCCCAGGCUUAACCUGGGAACUGCAUCCGAUACUGGAUGGCUUGAAUCCGGGAGAGGGAUGCAGAAUUCCAGGUGUAGCGGUGAAAUGCGUAGAUAUCUGGAGGAAUACCGGUGGCGAAGGCGGCAUCCUGGACCGGCAUUGACGCUGAGUGAGCGAAAGCCAGGGGAGCAAACGGG
rnacentral:rRNA from 1 species